AGCAGCACACGUAAGCUCCAUCAUCUUCCACAUGUGAGGGCAAAUCCAAUCACAUUGUUGCAAGCAAACCAAUGAGAGCUCAGGAUCAUGAAUCCCACGUGGCACGUGCACAUCCACCAAACCCCAUGCAUAUAGUAUCUUCCUCUUUUUCAUUCUCACCUUUCCAUGCAUAUAGCUUAGCUAGCUGUGAAAAGGCAUCUCAGAGGCGCAACCAGGUCUAUCUGCUCCAUCACCAACGGCAGUGCCACCUUCAAGACCAUUGCACUUUUCUCCAAGAAGAAGGCAGCUCCACCUCCAAAGAAAAAGCCUGCUGUUGUAUCCCCCGCCAAUGAGGAACUCGCCAAGUGGUAUGGUACCAAGCGUUUGAGUUGAUUCAUGCCAGAUGGGUAAUGCUUGGUUCAUCAUUCCUGAGGCCUCAAUUCAAUAUGAUCAUUAGCUUCAUAUGUGACCAACAUAUCUCAUGCACUUCACCACCUGGUGGAGGUUAUAUUGCCAAAGUAUGCAGCUUUAAACCUAGAUGAGGUGCAAGGGUUGCAUGAGAUUAAUGUAGAGGUUACCUCGUAUUUUAAUGGUCAAUUACACGGAAAUAGAAUUUGGACCGGGUUAGUUUGGCUUUCUUUGACUGUUUAAUUAUCGAAAAUCUGCAUAUUAAAUGGAUGUCAAAUAAUUUGUAAUGGCGAACAAAACAGUUAAUGAAAGAUGUCUUGUUCCUUAUUUAAAAUC